rnacentral:rRNA from 1 species
AACGAACGCUGGCGGCAGGCUUAACACAUGCAAGUCGAGCGCCCCGCAAGGGGAGCGGCAGACGGGUGAGUAACGCGUGGGAAUCUACCCAUCUCUACGGAAUAACGCAUGGAAACGUGUGCUAAUACCGAAUACGUCCUUCGGGAGAAAGAUUUAUCGGAGAUGGAUGAGCCCGCGUUGGAUAGCUAGUUGGUGGGGUAAAGGCCUACCAAGGCGACGAUCCAUAGCUGGUCUGAGAGGAUGAGCAGCCACACUGGGACUGAGACACGGCCCAGACUCCUACGGGAGGCAGCAGUGGGGAAUAUUGGACAAUGGGCGCAAGCCUGAUCCAGCCAUGCCGCGUGAGUGAUGAAGGCCCUAGGGUUGUAAAGCUCUUUCGCCGGUGAAGAUAAUGACGGUAACCGGAGAAGAAGCCCCGGCUAACUUCGUGCCAGCCGCCGCAGUAAUAC